AACGAACGCUGGCGGCAUGCCUAACACAUGCAAGUCGAACGAGACCUUCGGGUCUAGUGGCGCACGGGUGCGUAACGCGUGGGAACCUGCCUUUAGGUUCGGAAUAACUCAGAGAAAUUUGAGCUAAUACCGGAUGAUGUCUUCGGACCAAAGAUUUAUCGCCUUUAGAUGGGCCCGCGUUGGCUUAGCUAGUUGGUGGGGUAAAGGCCUACCAAGGCGACGAUCCAUAGCUGGUCUGAGAGGAUGAUCAGCCACACUGGGACUGAGACACGGCCCAGACUCCUACGGGAGGCAGCAGUGGGGAAUAUUGGACAAUGGGCGAAAGCCUGAUCCAGCAAUGCCGCGUGAGGGAUGAAGGCCUUAGGGUUGUAAAGCUCUUUUACCCGAGAUGAUAAUGACAGUAUCGGGAGAGUAAGCUCCGGCUAACUCCGUG
rnacentral:rRNA from 1 species